CAGAAGCUACUGCAGACGCUAACAGCCUCUUGUCGCCAUAUCAAUUCAUCUAUAGAUAAAGAGAGAGAGCUUUGGUUUCUGGAGACAAAGCUUAAACCAAACCAACAACAAUGGCAACCUGUGGUACACCGCCUUCCUUGAUGCUAACUUAUGCCGCUUCUACUGUACACCCACAAGACCUCACUCCUUCUAUCCUCUCCUUUAAGUCCAAAACUUUUUCCUAUCCACCGGCUUUGGGUUCUGGUGGUGAGAGAAAAUCAAACAAGGGCCUCAAUUUGUAUACACAAAAAGAGGCAAAGUUUGGAACUUGCAGUGUGGUUGUAGCCGCUGCUUUGGCUGCAGAGUCAGAGGUGGCAGAGGUGGCUGAGGAAGCGGAGGAGACAGGAGGUGAUGCAGCCACGGCUACAGUUGCUCCACCGAAGCCUAAGAAAGGGAAGGCUGCAUUGCCCUUGAAGAGAGACAG
rnacentral:misc_RNA from 1 species